GAUGAACGCUGGCGGCGUGCCUAAUACAUGCAAGUCGAGCGAACAGAUGAGGAGCUUGCUCCUCUGACGUUAGCGGCGGACGGGUGAGUAACACGUAGGUAACCUACCUAUAAGACUGGGAUAACUUCGGGAAACCGGAGCUAAUACCGGAUAAUAUUUUGAACCGCAUGGUUCAAUAGUGAAAGAUGGUUUUGCUAUCACUUAUAGAUGGAUCCGCGCCGCAUUAGCUAGUUGGUAAGGUAACGGCUUACCAAGGCAACGAUGCGUAGCCGACCUGAGAGGGUGAUCGGCCACACUGGAACUGAGACACGGUCCAGACUCCUACGGGAGGCAGCAGUAGGGAAUCUUCCGCAAUGGGCGAAAGCCUGACGGAGCAACGCCGCGUGAGUGAUGAAGGUCUUCGGAUCGUAAAACUCUGUUAUUAGGGAAGAACAAAUGUGUAAGUAACUAUGCACGUCUUGACGGUACCUAAUCAGAAAGCCACGGCUAACUACGUG
rnacentral:rRNA from 1 species